rfam:Tetranychus urticae London genomic scaffold, scaffold_1
AGGUUUGUAGUGUAGUGGUAAUCACGUUUGCUUCACACGCAAAAGGUCCCCGGUUCGAACCCGGGCAAACCUA